UACGUAGGGGGCAAGCGUUGUCCGGAUUUAUUGGGCGUAAAGAGCGUGUAGGCGGCUUUACAGGUCCGUUGUGAAAACUCGAGGCUCAACCUCGAGACGCCGGUGGAAACCGUAAGGCUAGAGUCCGGAAGAGGAGAGUGGAAUUCCUGGUGUAGCGGUGGAAUGCGCAGAUAUCAGGAGGAACACCAAUAGCGAAGGCAGCUCGCUGGGACGGUAUUGACGCUAAGGCGCGAAAGCGUGGGGAGCAAACAGG
rnacentral:rRNA from 1 species